CUCCCAUGUCAGUGGAAAUCUGUAAGCCCCCAGCAGCCACGCAUCAGCAGCCACAUAACCUCCGUGGUCACAGACUUCACACUGUAAGUCGGUACUAUCAUAGCCAGUGUUCCUCACUGGAGAUUUACUUUUCAUACAGCCCGGUCCUUGCAGCAGUUUAUUACAAGUCUCUGGUGGGAGACAGUUCACAAGUGGUCUACAGGGCUUUAGGAUUUAUGUUCAUUAUAUUCAGUGCAUAAGUAAUUCUUUCAUUUGUAAACACAUUACAUUAACAAUCUGUCUAUACCACAGGGGAAGGAGGGAUCCUUUUGUGCCAAUCUUGGAUUGGCUUUCUGUAGCCUCCUGCCAUCUGUAAUGUCAGGUUAGUGUUAAGAAACAAAAAAAAAAAAACUGGCUUUCAAGUAGAAAAUCCAAUUUUAACGCAUCAGUAACAAAGCUUGUCAUUUGAGAUGCAUCCUUGCAUAAUGAUGCAACAACAAGCCCUGACAGUCCUAUGAUGUGUCGCCUUACAAUAAUGCAGAGAUCAUUCUGAAAAAUUUGAGAAAAUUAAGGAAUAUAAUCAGUAGGCACACAGGGUUCAUAAGUAGGACUAGGAUAUAACAUCCACAAGGAGGAGAGUUUUUGAUAAAAGUACAGAAUACAAUGUAACACUCAAAUAUUCUGCCAUCACGCCUGUAAUCUGACAAAUCACACAGUAUUUAUGCUCAAGUUGCAGUGACAGUUUUUUCCCAGUGUUUUUUUUCUCUCACUGUGUAUAGUGACUAGGCACUGUGUAUAGUGCUAGUCCACUAGGCACAUAAUUCGCCUUUCAACUUUAGGCUUUGUACUAAAGGAACAGGACACCCUAAUAAUAAAAGAAUGCAAUAGACAAAAGAAGGCUAAAAUUGAAGGCAGACAUACACAUGUUGCAUAAAAAAGGGUAUUUCCAUGGCUUGCAGUUUCUUCUUUUACUAAGUUUGAAUUGUUUGCCACGAUAGCAGUGAGCCUGUGAGGAUGCCAAUGUCAGACAUUCCACCACUUUGGUCCAGACUGAAAUGUCUCCACAACUACUGGAUCGAUUGUCAUGCAAUUUGGGUUCAGACAAUUUCAACUGUUAGAAUGCUAACGCACUAAAGUAAGAUGGUUAACAUGAUUAAAAUUACCCGCUAAACAGCAGCGCCAUUGCUGCAUCCUGGGCUUAGCGCUGCCCAAGACGAUUGUGAUUGGUUUAAAAGAUAUACAAACGACCCAAAAGGUUUUUUUCCCCCUAUACCAGAAUGUUUACUCAUGCAGCCAGACAAUACUCCAGCACUGACACAGCAUGUUGAUGUUAACAUUCAGCUCAAAGCAAGUGCAGCCUCACAGAGCUGCUAGCAUGGCUGUACCUUGUUUGUGUCUUUUUUUUUUAGCAUUACAUAGACACAAACUAAUUCUAAAUCUUACUUCAACUUUUUCCAUCUUUGUCACUCUUUCCCCGCAGCCAUUGUUCUUUUUAGUAUCAUUGUUCCAGUUUCACUCCAUUUUGUUUACUACUUAACCUUCAUGUGUCCCUCAUUGGUGUGGAGAGUAAACAAAUGCAAAAACAUUGCUAAAAUAUUGUAAAAGGUGUCCUUUCCUUUUUAACUGACAAAAUGAGGCAGAGGCAGAAUUAUUCUGAGCUAAAAAGGUUCUAUUCAAAUGUCUAAUGUAGCAAACUAAAGGCCUUAACAAUGUGAAAGGCAGUCACUGCAUCUCAUUUAGUCCUGUAUUAAAAAGCAGCUCAGGUGGAUAAGUGUGGCUCUUGGGUGGAUAAGAUGAAAUUAUUUGAGGGUGUUCAAAAUGGCAAACAGUUAUGUGCUUGUGAAUCUUUGUGUGGUCUAAGAGGGGAAACCGUUAACAAUGGAGUGGACUGCUAUUAGAAUGUAAAGUGUAUGAACAGCUGGUUUGCAUAUAGAUCCCAACAGCACUUUAUCCUUGCGAGGAGUGCUCAUUGUACAUGAUGGAUAUGUUUUUAGGAAUAUUGCUGUAUUGAAGAAAUGUAUUUAUUUUUGGAGUUUGUAUGACAAGCCAUCGCUCCUGUAGUCUAAGUCACUAAGGUGACCUCUUAACGCCCUAAAUUUAUAAGUGUGAUGGAUCGACUGCAUGUUUUCUUGGGGUGGCAUCGAAGAGUGCCGCCAUCUGUAUAAUAGGAACCAGCCCAAACAGAUUACAUGCAUGUCAGUGCCAAACACGGCAGUAAGCUCUGUGGACUGUUUGCUAUUUCCUAUCUCUUGUGCCCGGCUCUCCAAACAUUUGUCUCACCAGUGGUUACAAACCGUAGCAAAAUUAGCAUGUUACAGUUAACGCAUUCUUUUAUUAUUCUUUUUUUGUCUAAUCCCACUAUUUCUGUUUCUUCAGUUUUCUGAUUUGCAUGACUCCCUACUUUCCUUUAAAUUGGUUUAUAAAAUUGU